rnacentral:rRNA from 1 species
GACAGAGGUCCCGAGCGUUAGGCGGAAUCACUGGGCUUAAAGCGUGUGUAGGUGGAUGCCUAAGUACUUUGUGAAAUCCCACGGCUUAACCGUGGAAUUGCUUGGUAUACUGGGUGUCUUGAGCCAGCUAGGGGGCAACCGGAACAAAUGGUGGGAGCGGUGAAAAUGCGUAGAUAUCAUUUGGAACGCCAAUGGUGAAAACAGGUUGCUGGGGCUGAUGCUGACACUGAGACACGAAAGCCAGGGGAGCAAACGGG